UACGUAGGGGGCAAGCGUUGUCCGGAUUUAUUGGGCGUAAAGAGCGUGUAGGCGGCCAGACAGGUCAGCUGUGAAAACUCGAGGCUCAACCUCGAGACGUCGGUUGAAACCGUUUGGCUAGAGUCCGGAAGAGGAGAGUGGAAUUCCCGGUGUAGCGGUGAAAUGCGCAGAUAUCAGGAAGAACACCCGUGGCUAAGGCGGCUCUCUAGUACGUGACUGACGCUGAGACGCGAAAGCGUGGGGAGCGAACAGG
rnacentral:rRNA from 1 species